AUUUAAAUAGCUUAUUUAGAGCAUAACAUUGAAGCUGUUAGGGUAACAAAAUUGUUUUUAAAUA
rnacentral:tRNA from 1 species